GUAAUUUAUUUACAAUUCAUUUCUAUUGCAGGAUUUUAUAUUUUACUGAAAAAGUUUUGGCUUUUCCAUAUUUGAGAUUUACAUUUGGGUGAAAACUAUUUACUGGUAUUUGACUGUUACAAAGUGGACAUGAGACAUUACUCUACAGCACUCUUCUUUAACAGAAGCCGAAUUUGAUAACAUAGUGGCGGAAUGGCUACGUUUCGCCAAGCAGAGGAAGCAGAGGGAAGAAAGAGGAACACAGGAACACAGGGAAGAAAGAGGAAUACAGGAACAAAAUAAGGAAAAUAAUUAGUAUUUAAAACAGAUUUUGUGUAAUAACAAUUAGAUGUAUUAUAAAACAGGUUUUGUGUAAUAA